rnacentral:lncRNA from 1 species
AUCAUCCCGUACCUGCUCACCUUCCUCGCCGCCGCGGCCUCGGCGUUCGUCCGGAGCCACUCCUCGCUGCUGCACGCGCUAGCGAGGGCGCUCGUCCCGGCGGCGGCGGCCAAGUGCGCGCACAGCGCCUCGCCCGUCAGCGCCGACCUGCCCGCACCGCGCUGCGACGGAGACGAAGCGGAUGCGGAGGCGGAGGACUACGCCGCGCUGAGCAAGGAGGAGGUGGAGGCGAUCAUGGGCGCGAUCGGCCUCGCGGCGGCCGGGCGCGGCGAGGGCCUGGCGGCCGUCAUGGGCCGGGACGAGGUGUCCGGGCUGUUCGAAGCCGAGGAGCCGAGCUUCGCGGAGGUGCGGGGCGCCUUCGCGGUGUUCGACGCCGACGCCGACGGGUUCAUCGGCGCGGCCGACCUGCAGGGCGCCCUGGCGAGGCUCGGCGUGCGGGAGGACGCCGCGUCGUGCCGCGCCAUGAUCGACGCGGCCGGCGGCGACAGGGACGGCAGGAUGAGCCUGUUCCAGUUCGUCGGCUUCCUCGAGAACGGCUUGUGAUGAGAGCCGGAUGAGGAACUGACUAUUUACUUCAUUUUUCCCCCCUUUUAAUUCCUUUCGUCGCCUCAGCUCGUGGCAGGAGAUGUGAGAGUAGUGGUGUAUCCUCGGAGACGGUGUGCGUGUGUUUUUUUUCCUCCUGCCAUGCGUGAGUUGGGGGUGGAUGAUGGACUGUGC